CCAUGGGGGACACAUGCUGGCCAAGGGGGUCCUGUUCUGGGGCAUGGCAGCUCCAGGAGUGUUCAGACUUCUCCUUUCUUGCUCAUCUCCUGCAGGAUCUGAGCUGGCAAGAGCAGCUUAGGAAUGGAGCCCCCAGCAAGAAGGUUUCAAAGUUUCCUCCUUGAAGCCAGUGGCCAUCCAAGGCUCUGCUCUGGCCAGCCCCAGGUGGCAGCCAGGACCUGAGUGUCCCACUGGCCCCUUGGCUUUGACUCUGGCAGCUUUAGAGCUGCUGCAGAGGUGAGAGUUCUGUGGGGGGAAAUGGCCUGGGUGUGGUUUGCUCAGCCCUGCAAGAGGCACAAAACCCAAAGGGAGCCCAAGCAGUGAGUCUCUGAGAGCCUUUGAUGGUUUUCCGAGCAGGGCUGGUUGGAACCCCCACUGCAGGGGCAACUGCGAGGCAAUCAGUCCAGAAAUACAGAAAUUGAUAAUUUUGUCUCUGUCCCCAAGGGUCUGAGAGAACCACAAAACUACUGCAAAUCCCACUCCAAUCUGCUCAACAACCUGACCUGGACCCUCCUUCUGCAGCCCUUUGGAACCUCCCAGAAAGAAUGUUUGGGUUCUGGAUGUGCACACCAGAAGAGAGGGAAAAGUGUGGAAAUACUGAGCAGUGGCUGCACACGAGGGCCUGGGGAACAGAGGUGUCACAGCAGGAGCAGGCAGUGCCUAGGCAGCUGAAUUCAGGGCAGGCUGGAGUGGAUUUACCAGGGAAUCAGACCCUGAGGCACACACGGGCAUUUCCACAGAUUCCUGGGCACUGUUCCAAGGAUGGACAGAGCUUCUCCCCUUUGGGAGCAGAGUCCAUGGGAAGUCUAUGCAGUUUCAGGGUAGGAAUGAGAAAAAUGGGGAAAGUUCUAAAUAUGCCCCCACAAAAGGCUUCCUUAUGGGCUGGGUUGCUGCCCAGCAGGCAGAGAACAAUCCCAUGGAGCUGUGGGACACUCAGGGAAAUUCCACAGUGUUAUCUACAAGCAAACACUGCUGUGGGGAUGUACCAAUGAGCUCCUAAAGGGAACAAAAAAGUCUCAUUUCUUUUUAAUUUGUUUGUGUUUUUCUUGUAAGCGACUGUUGGGCGAGCAGUGAUUCAAAUGAUUUUAUAAAUUGGAGCAUUUUAUACCUUGUCUUUUUGAUUUUUGCUGAGUUUGUUUUUUAUUGGAAAAUAGUGGUGUGGGAAAGUAUUUUUGCCUUUAUUCUAUGGAUGUAUAAUUUUGUCUCAGCCAAUUUGGCCUCAGGUGUUCCCUGGGAUGCGUGAGCCAGGAAACUGGGGGACAGGAAAAAGCUCAGGUUUGUGUGGGGCACAGACCCAGAGCCUCCCAGGACAGCCUUGGAGUGCCCCAGGGUGGGGGCUGUGCUGGGCUCUGGGUUACCACAAAAUCUGAGGCACCCCAUGAAGGAGCUGUGACCCCUGUGCCCACCCAGCCACUCACCAUCCCUGGCACCCCCAUUCCCCUAGGAAGCCAACCAUGGGAUCCCCAUUGCUUUGGUCUCUCCUCCCUGGGGACCCCCAUCCCAGGACUGCCAUUGCCCAGGACCACCAUUGCAUUGAUCCCAUCCCAUGGGCUGCUUCUUCCCGAGGGUCCCCUUUUUUCCCCUGCACCCCCAACACUGGCACCCACAUGCCAUGACCCAAAAUUCCUGGAGACCAUGUUCCUCCAGCAUUCCCAUCCCUUAAUCCCCCCAGGCAUGGAGACCCCAAUUCCCCUGGAUCCCCAUUCUGGACACCCAUCCUUAGUUCCCUGCAUCCUCUGAGCCCCCCACUCCUGACAACAGCUUUUCCCACCAUGUGCCCAGACUAUCCCAUAAUGUCCCCAGCCUGUCCCCUGCUGUGUCUUCUUUCCCCCACCCUGCCCGCACCAAGGGCCACCUACACGUGGGGAUGAAACGUGACCUCGCUUCCUUCCCCUUCAUCUGAAGAGCCACCAGCCAGGGGAGGCUACAGAAGCCAGUGACAGCCAGUCCACAUGGCUGGGGACACGGGGAUGGCCGGGAAGGCGGCGCUGCUCCUGUGGGCCACAUCAGUGCUGCAGGUGCAGGCAUAGGCGCUGCUGGAGGACAAGAAGGUGACACUGCGCUGCCAGCGCUGGCAGGACAACUCAGUCAGUUUGGUGUCCUUCUACCAUGAGGAGAAGAAACCGUGGAAGCUCUGCAAUGGGACCAAGCUGUUCCUGUCCCUUCUGCAGCUGCACCACAGUGGCCGCUACAGCUGCAAGGGCCAGGUGAAAUCCAGGGUAUCAUGGAGAUGGGAGGAGUCCGCACCGGUGACAGUGACACUGCACAGUGAGCAGCUCACAGCUGCCACCCCCACAAGCCCUCCCCAGGGACUUGGGUUCACAAAUCCCCCUCUCCUCUCCUUCCCAGAGCUCUUCCCUGUGCCGGUGCUGGAGGGUCCCCCUGAGCCAAUCGAGGGGGCUCCCUGAAGUUCGCCUGCCUCAGCACCCCAGCCCCCUGUGGCCCCAAGCUCCCAUCCUGCACGUGUUCUACUGGGACGGGCAGGUGGUGGGGGGCCCGCAGAGGUCCCCACAGUUGCUGGUACCCGCCGUGGGGUCUCCCAUUCGGGGAAUUACAGCUGCGAGGUGCAUUCCGAGGGGGGAGCUGUGUGGAAGAGCAGCGCCUGGCUCCACGUCAUGGUGUGCAGUGAGUGCGAGGAUGGGCACGGGGAACUCCCACAGCCUGCUGGAGUGCCUCCAUUACUGCCCAGGUCCCCCCAUCCCUCACUGAGUCCCUUCACCCAUCUCUGAGUCAACCCUACCCCUCUCUAAGGUUCCCCCACGUUCCCCAAGUCCCACCAUUCCUCCCCCGGGUUCUCAUACCCUCACUGGGGUCUCCUCAUCUCCCUCAUCAGGUGUCCCCUCACUGAACCCCCCAUGCUUCCUUGGGGUUCCUUUCCGACCCCCCCCCCCCCCCCCCCACAUGCUCUGCAACCCUCUCCCUCUCUGGGCUCUCCCUGCCCUGCCCCAACCACCCUCUGAGUCCCUCUCUGUCCCCUGGUGUCCCCCCUCCCGCAGGGGUUCCACCCUCGGGAUGUCAUGGUUGGCACAGCCUACUGGGGGACAGGUGGCACUUUGGGACUGCCUGGUGCUGAGCUCAUGGUGGCUGUGGGGACAGGUUCCCUGUCCUUCUCCUGGUACCUGUGGGGGGCUUGGGGGCACUGUUGGGCACCUGCCCCCACCUGGAGCUGUGCCAUGCUGGGGUCAAAGGCAGUGGCUGUUACCAGUGCGGGGACAGUAGUGCCGAGAGUGUCCCCCUGAAUGUCACUAUCUUGGGUGAGAGGAACCCUUGGGCUGAGGGUGACCCCACCCACAGCACUCUCAUCCCACCUCACCAUCUGCCAGCCCUGUCUGUGUCCCCGCAGUACCCGUGGCCAAUGCCACCAUCACCCCCGGUCCCCUGGCACACCAGGUGCGCACAGGUGACCCCAUGACCCUGCACUGCUCGGUGCAGGUUGGCUCAGCCCUUGUCACCUUCACCUGGCUGCACGACGGGCAGGAGGUGGCCCAGGAUCCCCUCCUGGAGCUUGGGGAUGUCAUUGUGGGACAUUUGGGCACCUACCAGUGUGUGGCCACCAAUCAGCUGGAUGGGCACCGGGCACCCAGUCCAGAACUGGCCCCGGAGGUGACAACACAGGAACAGGGCACAGGUGGAGUCACACAGGGUCACACAGGGCGUGCAGGAGCCCCGGGCUUCAGGGUGACCCCAUUGUGUCUCUCCCUGUCCCCACCAGUGGCCCCAGGGGUCAGCAGGUCCCUCCUGUUCCUGGUCCUGCUUGUGGCUAUCUUCAGGGGCUGGCACUGGUGGCACCACAUGGGUGGGUGACAAUGAGGGGGAAUGGGGGUCCCAGGGAUUGGGUUGAAGCCCUCCCCAGAGUACGGGGGCCAUAAGGUGGCACCAACAGCUCCUGACUUGGGUAGAGCUGAAUCCUCAGGGAUGUCCUGGGGGAUUUGGGGAGGUCCUGCAGGGUUUUCCAGGGAAGUUGGGGGUUCUAUCAGGGGUUUGGGGGAGUUUGGGGGCGUGGGGGGUUCAAGGGGUGGUUCAUGGCUUUUUGGGGGCUUCAAGGAAUCUCCAGGCUCCCAGGGACAGUCAAAGGUCUCGAGGGUGUUCAGGAACCCUGAGGACUCCACAGCCACCCGUCUCCCUUUCUUUUGCAGCCCUCAGGAAGCAGCAGGAAAAGUGAGUGGGGGGCUCCAGUUCUGAUCCCCCAUUUUACACUAACUGUGACACUCCCCCCACCCCACCCCACCCCCACUCUUUAUCCCUGCAGGGCUCCCCCAGCUUCCUUGGCCCCCUCAGAGGCAGGGGAGGUGCUGUACAGCCGGGUCAUAAAAACCAAGAAGGCAGGGGGUGAGUACGGAGGAGCAGACAGGGACAUGUCACCCAUGGGUGUCACCUCCCACCAAGGUUCCCCCAACUGGUGUCUCUUGCAGUGCCCCCUGUGCCACAUCCCUGCGGGUGACCAACACGGAGCUGCUGGGACCCCAUGGGCAACAGUGGGACCCUGAUGACAUCAACGAGAACGUGCUGUGACACUGGGGAGCCCUGGGGGCACUGGAGGUCCAUGUGUGUCCACCCUCCAGUUCCUGUGGGUGCCCACCAUGCCAGGGGGGUGGCCAGGAGUGGGGGGUCCGAUGUGGGGUUGCCCAGAGCUCCCUGUUCCAGUGCUCCCAGUGCUCCCAGUGCCCCCAGGGGCUCCCCAUUCCUUUCCCCAGUGCAGGGGGCACAGCCACCCUUUCCCUCUCAUGGGACCGAAAAUGCAGCUUUUUGAUGAAAGAAGGGGAAAUGGUUUUUGUUUUUUCAGCUCUGCCCUAUUCAGUUCAGGAAGGAGGAGGGUCCUGGUCAGGUUGUUGAACAGAUCAGUGUGGAAUUUGCACGAUUUUUGGGGCUCUGUCUUGGUUUGAAAAGACCUUCUGUUAAGGAAGGUAGGAGCUUCUAUUGAAAUGGAAAAGAUAACCUCCUUCCCUCUGAAUUAUUAUAAUUUUGGAAUUAAGGAACUCUCAGGUAAAGAUAUGGGAGUAGGGAUAACAGUCCUUUAUUAGGAAAAAUGUUAAAAAUAAAAAUAAAAAAUUGUUGUAGAUGAAUAAUGAGAUGAUUGGCUCUUGCAAUUAAGUGAUGAAUAUUAAGAGAAGCUUUAUUGAUGUAUAGUUACAUUAUUGUGACUAUAUUGUUGUUUAGGUGUCCUCUAUUCUCCCCCUAGUCCCCUUUUCCAUCCCUCUGUAUUGUUGCCACCGGACAACCUGGAUUAUCCAGGACAGGUAAAAGGAAGGUGUGUACAUGUUUCCCUUGCAACAUGCAAGGGGCAGUUGAGAAUGGAAAAGCUUGUUGCUAGUGGGGGAAGCACAGCAUGACAACACCUGGCCCACCAAUCAAGUUGCAAGAAAGCAGUCUCCACCAAUAAACGGCAAAGAAGAGUUGACUGACAGACCUUGGGAGGGGCCAGGGUUGGCUGAUGCAACCCCCAGAGGUAUAAAAGGCAAAGCACGCAUUUUGAAGAUGAGCCAUGUGGUAGGCAGCCACCAGGGGGGCUUCCAGGCCUGUUUUUCCUUAUUUAGUAAUUUUGUUGCAUUUUUGCUAAGGUUUAAUAAACCUGUUAAAAUUCUUUAAGUGAACAGUUGUUUCUCAUAAAAAUAAAAAUAAAAUGCAGUUAUAUAAAACAACACUGACAGAGUUAAAACACAACCUGACACCCUGUGUAUCAGGAUAUUGGUAACAGUUCAUUAAAUGGUGGUUGCAGUCCUCCUGGAGUUACAGGUGUGGUACUGUUGGAGCAGUGAUCCUGUAGAAGGGUGGAGUUUUUCUCUGAAGGUUCAGUGCUGGUGUAGAUGGGCUUGGUUUUCCUCUGGGAAAGCAGUGUGAAAAGGCUGGGUGUGGUGUUCCAAAUGUCAGAUUAUAUCCAGGUAGGAAUACUUGGCUCCUCACCCUGGGUGGAGCAUCUCCCAGUGGAAUGAUGUAAUUUUAUCAGUCAUGCAGUGACCACCAAUGGCCCAUUAACAAAAGGAUUGGUUGUGGAAGAGAUAAAGAAAGCUGUCCCACCUGGUUUUAACAGGUAACUCAAUUAACAGAAGAUAACUGCUCCACCUCUAACAGAUGGCAAAUAGAAUACACACCCCCAGUCACAUCUUGUAACCUGAGACAGAAGCCAUGGGUGUACCAGGAGUGCUGAGAGGGGGAUUGCAGAGACACUGGGAGUACAGGGGUACUGGGAGGUAGAAUGGGAAACACCUGGAUAUACUGGGAGCAAUGGAGAGGCACUGGGAGUGGAAAUAGGGAGCCCCUGGGGGUACUGGGAGCACUAUGGGGACAGAAUGGGGAAGUCUCUGAGAGUACUGGGAGCACUUGGAUGUGGAAUGGGGAGGCACUCGUGGUAGGGUGGGGAAGCCCUUGGGGUUCUGGGGGAACAGGGAGCUCUGGGUGCCCUGUGCAGCCUCACAUGUGACCCCCACUUGUGCCCAUCUACUCGUGAAUAUCGGGCACCAACAGGAGCAAUGGGGGGGGGGCACACAUGUGUGGCUGCCCAUUGGUAGAGUCCCCCACUGCCCCGCAGUUCCCUCAGAACCCCUCAGUGCCCACCCGUGCCCCGAGUGUCUCAGCACAUUCUCGUAUAUGUCACCAGGCUCUCGCAUUCACCUGUGGGUUGCUGGCAGCUCCACGUAGGUCACCUGGGGAUCCUGGAGUGUAGUGGCAUGGGGGACAUUGCAAGAGACACUGGCUGUGGGAUCUGGGUGGGGUGAAACUCGUGGGUGACGUGUCCCUCUGCAUGUGCCCCCCCCUGUACUCACCCCCCAUUUGCUUGGUGAUUACAACGUGGGGGUACAGCACCUCCCCCUCCUCUGGGGGUUCAGGGGAUCCAGAGGAGCCCUGAGGGAAUAAAGGGGAUUUGUGGGAGGGAAUGGGAGGUCUUAGGGGUUGGACGAAAAGGGGAGUGUGUGAUUUAACCCCCCCCACUCACCUUUCCUUGUGAUUCCAGGCAGCUGCAAAGGAAAGAGGAGAGGGAUAAUUGUAGAAUCCCCAGGACCCUGACCACUCUCAGGAAUUCUGGCCCCUCAUUUUCUCCCAGGACUCCUGAGCAUCCCUAAUGUCCCCCAGAAUCCCUGAACUUCCCCUGUGCUCUCUUAUCACCAGUCAGAGUUCCAUGUACAAAUCAUGAAUGGGAUGGGACUGUUGUGGAAUGCAUGUAGAGCUGUUUAUUUUCCAACAUCAGUUUCAUUACAUAGUUAUGACAAUGGGAAUAUGCCAGCAGCUCAUAUCCCCAGCAGCAGACAAAGAAUUUAAUGUUACAACUUAAAAAAAAUUUUGACCAAUCACACAAAGCAAAAGCAUACUGACAGUAGUUCUAUCCAACCACUAUAAGCACACUUACCUUUGGUUAAAACAAUGCUGGCUUAUUUUGAGUACAAUACCCACUUGUAAGCCUUAAAACACAAUGCACAGAGCUCCAUUAUAAAGUUUAGAACUUCCUAAUACCUCGCUAGAUAUAAUUUUAUGUAGCUUAGGGAGUUAUUCUAGCCAAGCUUUAAUACACAAACCGUUCUAUUUGUCCUUACUUUCUACUUGUUUCAUAACAUUUCUGCUGAAAAAUCUUAUGGCUACUGCUUAGCUCUAAUUGCAGUUUUGCUGUCCCUGAGGCCUGCCUUUUGCAACUUUCCUAAAACCCUCUGAUUUUAAGGAUUCACAUACUCUGGACCCCUUAAGCCCCCAGAAUCCAAAGGUUGGCAGGGAUGGAG